ensembl:lncRNA
AAGUUAAAAAAAACAACUCAAACAACUUGGAAUUAUAAUGGGGACAAUGGAAAAUAUUUCACAGAUAAAUUAUGAAGAUUAAGCAAGAUAACAUGCAGAAUGGCCUAGCACUGUUGGCGUACAAUAAAUGUUAAAUGUCCUCCUUUUAGCCCAAGGCAUAAUGACCAGGAUGAAAGAGAUCUGAGAUUCUUUCUCUAGCAAAAGGAUUUUCCUAACAGGGUCGGACUCCAUCACUGUUUUAAGAGAUCUCAUGAUUGGACACUUAUCUGUAGUGGUUGCCUUUUUAAUGUAGCUAAACCUAGAUUUUGGGUCUGGGUCUCAGACCCAAAUCAAGUCUAUCAGCAAACUUACCACUCAACCUCUGACCUGGUGAAGUUAUUAACAGCUCCAACUAAUAAAAGAGUCAAGCAUAGGCCGGACAUGGUGGCUUACACCUAUAAUCCCAGCAUUUUUGGGAGGCCGGGGUGGGUGAAUAACCUGAGGUCAGGAGUUCACGACCAGCCUGGCCAACAUGGUAAAACCCAUCUCUACUAAAAAUACAAAAAUCAGCUGGGUGUGGUGGUGCGUGCCUGUAAUCCCAGCUACUCGGGAGGCUGAGGCAUGAGAAUUGCUUGAACCUGGGAGGCGGAGGUUGUGGUGAGCCGAGAUUACGCCACUGCACUCCAGCCUCUGUUGCUCUGGGCAACAGAGCGAGACUCUGUCUCCAAAAAAAAAAAAAAAGAAAAGAUUCAAGCAUAAACAGUAAGUCAGUUGUUCAGAAUGGAAUUUCUGUCUUGCAAAAUAUCAAAGCCAAUCUUGUGUUUUCUGUUCCAUUUGAAAACACAUACAACCACUAUACACCUAUUAAAAUGGCCAAAAUCCAGAACACUGGCAAAACCAGAUGCUGGUGAGGAUGUGGGGCAGGAACUCUCAUUCAUUGCUGGUAGGAAUGCAAAACGGCACAGCCAUUUUGGAAGAGUUUAGCAGUUUCUCACAAAACUAAACAUCCUCUUAACAUAUGAUUUAGCAAUUGUACUCCUUGGUAUCUACCCAAAGGAGCUGAAAACUUGUCUACACAAAAACUUGCACAUGGUUGUUUAUAGCAGCUUUAUUCAUAAUUGCCCAAACUUGGAAGCAACCAAUAUGUCCUUCAGUAGGUAAAUGAAUAAAUAAACUGUCAUACAUACAGACAAUAGACAUUAUUUAGUGCUAAAAAGAAAUGAGCUGGCCAGGCGCGGUGGCUCACACCUGUAAUCCCAGCUACUCAGGAGACUGAGGCAGGAGAAUUGCUUGAACCCAGGAGGCGGAGGUUGCAGUGAGCUGAGAUGGCACCACGGCACUCCAGCCUGGGUGACAGAGUGAGACUCCAUCUCAAAAAAUAAAAAAAGAAAUGAGCUAUCAGGCCAUGAAAAGAUGAGGAGGAAUUUGGGUGAUAAUUGGACUUUGGGUAAUAAUUGAUGAGGUAAGUUCAUCAGUUUAAAACAAAUUGUACCACUUUGAUUGAGGAUGUUGAUAAUGGGGAAGACUAUGCUUGUGUGGGGGCAGAAGGUAUAUGGGAAAUCUCUGUACCUUUGUUUCAAUUUUGCUUUGAACCUAAAAAACUGCUCUUAAAAAGUCUUAAUUUUUAAAAAUGAUCAUAAAUUGCUUUUGGAGUAAGAACACAAAUUAUGUUCCCAUGUAGCUAAAAAAAGCGCUAUUUUCAUUUGUCAUCUGUUGCUCAUUCUCUCUAGAGACGAAAGGGCUGAAACCUCCAUUAUUACUAAGUAGGCUUCAGAUCUUUAACAUCAGAAGGGCACUCAGAGAAAAUUGUAGGCUAGCCUCCUUUCACAUUAGAGCUAGCCACUGACAGUUGAAGGAUUCUAAAAAAUACAUUUGUGACAUACUCCCAAAACAAUAUAUAAAAAACGAAAAUAUUUAUGAGACCAUCCAGCUGGUAUUAAAUAGCUUGCCCAAGUUCACACAUCAGUGUAGAGGACUAUGUGCUCGCAAACGAGACGUUCCCGAUAAGUCCUGCUCUUGCAAACGAAGCAGGGCGUUGGGGGCUUGUUUAUGUGUAAACAUCUUGAAAAUCCAGAAAGUCAGGGAAAGGUCAGAAAAACAACAAUGUGUCUUGUGACUUGGCAACAUUCCACAAAUGACUGUAUAAAAUAAAGCAGAGCACGCCAUUCGAGGCGGCCACCAUG